rnacentral:rRNA from 1 species
CGGUGAUAAACCGGAGGAAGGUGGGGACGACGUCAAGUCAUCAUGGCCCUUACGAGUAGGGCUACACACGUGCUACAAUGGCGCAUACAGAGGGCAGCCAACUUGCGAAAGUGAGCGAUCCCAAAAAAGUGCGUCGUAGUCCGGAUUGGAGUCUGCAACUCGACUCCAUGAAGUCGGAAUCGCUAGUAAUCGUGGAUCAGAAUGCCACGGUGAAUACGUUCCC